UGGUGAUUCAUUGGCCUUGUCUCUUUAAUUUAGAUGGUCUGUGUGUCUGCCUCUGUGUGUGAGUAUGUGCCUGUAGGUAAAUAUAAUCUAGUUAAGUAGCAAAAAGACGUUAGGCUGGCAGAUUGAGAGAUACAUGGUUAUUGUACAAAUGUAGACUCUACCCAGUUCUUGAAAGAGAUGGGGUUUUCCUCUAUUAGUAAAGAAUCUACUGAGUAAUGGGUUAUUUCAGUGAUACAAUAAACUUUAUGCCAACCUGAUUUGAAAUAAAAACUUUAAUAUUAAAUUUAAAUAAUCAACACUUUGUUAAUGUAGUUGUGUUUUAGCCAUAGUCUACACAUUGUCAACAUGAUUCAUUAUACAGAGAAUGUUGAGAGGGAAAAACAUAUCUACUCCUUAAUCUGCUCCUUUCAAAACCUGAUUCAAAGAGGAAAUGAAAUGUAUAAUCUCAUUAAAGGGGAAUAAAAUUAUUCUUCUGAAGAAGGACUGCAAAGUUGGGAGAGAGAUUUAGUCUCUCAUUUCCUCCCUUUUUUACCCUUUUAAUGUUAUACCUAAAUGUUUACUUGUACAUCAGAAUGAAGGCAAUUUUCGCUGUCUGAGCUGAUACAGUCACCAUGUAACUCUUUUCCUCACAUUUCUCUAUUGCAUAGAUAUUAAAGAGAGACACAGGAAGAUAUCAAGAUUGAGCUGAAACAAUCUAAGUCUUUCCAAAAAAUAAUGUUUAAGAGUAAGCAAAACAAGGGUAUUGUAAACAAGCAAGAGGUAACCUACACAGAACCAAAACUUUCCAAAUCUCAACAGAAGCAAAAAAUACCCAAGACAAACCAGAGAAGUGUCAAAUCAAGUGAACAGCAAGUAAACUACACGGAACUGAAGUUUCCAAGGCCCUCUCACCUUCAGCACAGAAAACGGUUGUUUAGGAAAAAAAGAAAAGUGUUACACCACCGACCUACAGCAUGGCAACUGGUGACUGGGAGUCUAGGGAUCUUGUGUGUGGUCUGGAUGACAACAGUGGGUGCCUCGCUUGCAAACUUAUUUUCUAGCAGAGAAGAACAAAACUGAAAAAGAUCACCUGUUCCCACACUAUCUUCUAAAAAUGGUGGUGAGUAUUCUUUCUGUUCAAUCCACUUCUAAUAUUGAUCAUUGGAACUAAAGGGUUUGCCUUCCUGACAGCCACAAAACUUCGUGAAU